GCGGCGAACGGGUGAGUAACACGUAGGUAAUGUGCCUUCUGGUGGGGAACAACCGUGGGAAACCAUGGCUAAUACCGCAUAUCGUGCUUCGGCAUGAAAGCCUCUGGGGCAACCCGGGGGCGCCAGUCGAGCAGCCUGCGUCCCAUUAUUUAGUCCUAGUUGGUAGGGUAAUGGCCUACCAAGGGUACGAUGGGUAGCUGGUCUGAGAGGAUGAUCAGCCACACUGGAACUGAGACACGGUCCAGACUCCUACGGGAGGCAGCAGUGGGGAAUAUUGCGCAAUGGGGGAAACCCUGACGCAGCCACGCCGCGUGAGUGAUGAAGGCCUUCGGGUUGUAAAGCUCUGUCGGGAGGGACGAAGGGGAAACCCUGACGGUACCUCGCAAGAAAGCACCGGCUAACUCUGUGCCAGCAGCCGCGGUAAUACAGAGGGUGCAAGCGUUGCUCGGAUUUACUGGGCGUAAAGCGUACGCAGACGGUGGGGAAGGUCGGAUGUGAAAGCCCUGGGCUCAACCCGGGAACUGCAUCCGAAACCGCUCCGCUAGAGUAUGAGAGAGGAAAGCGGAAUUCCUGGUGUAGAGGUGAAAUUCGUAGAUAUCAGGAGGAACACCUGCGGCGAAGGCGGCUUUCUGGCUCAUUACUGACGUUCAGGUACGAAAGCGUGGGUAGCAAACAGGAUUAGAUACCCUGGUAGUCCACGCUGUAAACGAUGUGUGCUGGAUGUCGGAGGUAUUCACCCCUUCGGUAUCGAAGUUAACGCGAUAAGCACACCGCCUGGGG
rnacentral:rRNA from 1 species